UACGUAGGCAGCAAGCGUUGUUCGGAGUUACUGGGCGUAAAGGGCGUGUAGGCGGAUCGGUAAGUCUACUCUGAAAGCUCCUGGCUAAAUUGGGAGAGGCGAGUGGAGACUGUCGGUCUAGAGUGAGGAAGAGGAAAGUGGAAUUCCGCGUGUAGUGGUGAAAUGCGUAGAGAUGCGGAGGAACACCAGUGGCGAAAGCGGCUUCUGGUCCUUAACUGACGCUGAGGCGGCGAAAAGCAUGGGGAGCGAACGGGG
rnacentral:rRNA from 1 species